CCUACGGGAGGCAGCAGUAAGGAAUAUUGGUCAAUGGACGAAAGUCUGAACCAGCCAUGCCGCGUGAAGGAUGAAGGUCCUCUGGAUUGUAAACUUCUUUUAUCUGGGACGAAAAAAGGGCUUUCUAGCUCACUUGACGGUACCAGAGGAAUAAGCACCGGCUAACUCCGUGCCAGCAGCCGCGGUAAUACGGAGGGUGCAAGCGUUAUCCGGAUUUACUGGGUUUAAAGGGAGCGUAGGUGGGCAGGUAAGUCAGUGGUGAAAUCUCUGGGCUUAACCCGGAAACUGCCAUUGAUACUAUCUGUCUUGAAUAUCCUGGAGGUAAGCGGAAUAUGUCAUGUAGCGGUGAAAUGCUUAGAUAUGACAUAGAACACCCAUUGCGAAGGCAGCUUACUACGGGAUUAUUGACACUGAGGCUCGAAAGCGUGGGGAUCAAACAGGAUUAGAUACCCUGGUAGUCCACGCCCUAAACGAUGGAUACUCGACAUCAGCGAUACACUGUUGGUGUCUGAGCGAAGACGAUAAGUAUCCACCGUCGGAAGGUAACGGUACCGCGAGGUUAGUAACGUUACAAUAGAGUUAGACGGCGUUGAGACGNGCCGACGGACGACGACGAGGGAGGAGG
rnacentral:rRNA from 1 species